AAUAGAUCAAGCUCUUGAGGAAGCGGACAGUGCCACGUUUGAAGACGCGGGGACAAUCACGCUGCUGGGAAGCGUCUCGUGUCGGAGAGGAAGCCAAACAACAAGAGGAAAAGCACUCUGAUUUUCGCACAGGAAGCCCACUGCGCCUCCUGCCCGGGCCAGAUAAGAGCACUGCGGUUCCCAAGGCCAGACUUAGGAUUGGACCAAGGACCAAGGCAUGAGGCCCUCUCAGCCUGAACCAGCCUCUGUCCCUGGGCCUCCUCCAGCGCGGUGUCAAGCUCGUGGUGCAGCCGAGCUGCAAAGAACAAGGGUCCGGUGAGGAUCCAGCAACAACUACACUAGGCAAACAUUGUCAACACAGUUUGAGAACCAGAACAGAGCUUUCCGUGGAACCUUCUGUCAGACAUGUCACGGCACGGAAAUGUUAAUAGGCUUCUGCACAGGCUUUUGGUGUGAAAGCAUUAAUGCCGCUGAGUGCUCACCACUGCUUAUCAGCUCACAUUGUGAUUGAUGGAAUGUUGACUUGAAUAUUGACCGUUAAUCCCUUUUAAUAGCUGUUUUUCAGAAUGGCUCUUAGAGUUGAUGCGAACCGUCCCAUUGACUUUCCUCAAUAGGCAUCUCUAAAGCUGAGCUGAGAUCUAAAGGUGCAGCCGGCAGAUUCAAAACACAUCGCUGUCAUAUUCUGAUGACUUUUGGCAAAGAGCGGCGUACGAAAGCAAACAGGCGCACUUCGGCAUGGCGCCAUGCAGGAGCGCUGGGGUCGAGGGUCAAGUACGCUGAUGAUGUCAGCGCAUCUCACAAGGGUAAUAGAGUGUGGGCGGCUGGAGCGGCGACCGCAGGUAAUGUUUAACCUUUCUGUCUUUGGUCAUAAGCAACACAAUACGCUCCUGACCUCCAGGACAGACUUAAUGAAUGUUUUUGCCAAGUGGCUGUUUGAGCGUGAGCGCGUCUGUUCAAGCGUCUGGCCUGGCUGUCGCUCUGCACGCCAGGGCUGGGCCGCUUCUCAUGAGAACGUUAUAUAUAGUGCGUAUGUCAGGUAUAAGAAAAGGCAUUGCAGGAUGCCGUGUGCAACCACAAUAACAAACAGGCCUCUCACCCUGCGUCCUGCUCAGGAAAUUCAUUAAAUCAUAGCGUUUGAUUUGGAAACCAACUAAUCGUGACUGAGAGCACAGGUCUAUUGAAGUGUGUUUUUCAUUGUUCUUUUAAGUCUGAGAUACACUGUGUACUGUGUCUGUGAACACACACACACGCACACACACAGAAGCACACAUGUGCAGAAGAGAUGACUUUGUUUGAACUUAAAGAUGGAAAAGACGCACAGACAGUAAGAGAACUAACAUUGAGAAUGCAGUUUCUCCAGAAACACACACGUAAACACAGGCAUGAUUAAAACACACAGUCUGAGAGUAAUGAACACACACACACACACACACACACACCCAUGCACACAAAAGGCCCCCAAAGGCAUCUGUUCUGGUUACAAGGAGGAAAUUGUCUGCAAAAAAAACACAUGCUGAAUUAGACAAAACAUGUCUCCUUUUAAAAACCACACAAUGCAAGUUGGAUUUAACACAAAGCAAAGCUCAAUGUCAGAUGGCAUUUCAUUAGGAAUAUAGAGAGGGUGAAAAAGGACAACUAACUUAAGGCUUUAGAACUGAAUAACCCAUAAAUGGUUUCUUCUCUAUCAACAUUGUUUGCCAUAUAAAAAUGUGCUGAUAAGUAAGAGGUAGUGCCUUGUUUACAGAACAAAAUGCAGGCUUUGAUAACCGGUGACCGAUGCAGUGAAGCUAAAUGACAUUGGACGUUUAGUGCCAUGGCUUUGGUUGUCAUCACGUUUUUCGGGGGAUAUUAUCCCUUGGCCUUAUUUACAGUUGAAAUCAAUGAAAAAAUGAAGUUAAAGUUGGCCAUUUCCAGGUAACUUGGGUCGCCACUGCUCUGGAGUGCAGAGUCAGACUGAAGUGUAGGGACCCAUGUGGCUGGUGAGUCACCGGAAAAGCCGUCGGUGGUCCCAUGGAAUUAGGUCAUCCCAACUGAGCUUGCACGUUGGAUGGACAUGCUGUUUGUUUUCAACUUGGAGGCCGCAACAUCAGCGUUUUUCACGUUUAACACGACUUCAUGGCCAUGGUGCUUUGCUGCUGUACCAAAGCGAGGCCUGACCCUGGACACUAGCUCGCCUCCGCUAGCCUCUUAACUCAAUAGUUUGUCUGCUUACCGGCCUUUAGAUGGACAGGGAUGCCAGAGCCACUUGAUGUUUGGUGGAGGGACACCAUGAGACGUGCAGUGUAGAGUUUUCCUGCUCCCGCGAGGCACAGUGCCGGGGUCCUGCAGCGACACUUCUUUCUCUCCGAUCUGCGGACAGACUGUUGAAGCAGCGGCAUCAGUAUCGAAGACGACUGAUGUGUGUGAGAGCGGUUCAUUGUUGCUCCUCACCAUUGACCACAAGGGUGACCGUGAGAUUCCGGCUGAGUCCAUAUUCGGGGAUUGUAACCCGGAUGGUAUAUUUCCCGGCGUCCUCCUCUGCUACAUCCCGGAUAAUGAGGGAGCUCCCAGACACGCGGUACCUGGAGCACUGAUCCGCUGCCACCAUCCCAUCCUUAAACCUGCGCCACAGCAUUUGUUAUCGUGUUAGAGAAUAUUUCCAAAUGAGUCGGACAACACUUUCUAUAGGAAAAGGCUAUGCAUAAAUAAUGGAAGCUAUCAUGGUUAGGUCUUUCAAACUAAGUGAUGAAUGAUAUCUAUAAAUAUUUUGGAUGAGUCAUAAUCCCUACCAGAUAACCUCAGGGGUUGGGAACGCUUGCAGCUUUGGGGUGAUCUUGUAUGAUUUCUGUCCAGCGUCAACCUUCACAACACAGCCUUUUUUGGGCUUUAACUUGAUGAACGGACGCUCUGGAGGAGGAGGAGACCACAAGCAACUUGUUGGUUACGUUACAGUGCUACAGUUUUGUAGGCCAUGGUUUUAAUGUCGGGGAAAUGACUCACCAUAGACGAUGACAGACACAUUCUGCUGUUUGGUAUUCUCACCGCUGGUGACACGACAGGUGUACAGGCCCUGGUCUGAGAGCUGAACCUCGGGGAUGGUUAGGAUGUUGUUAAACUGUAGAUGUGCUCUGAGUUUCAGAAGCCUUUUGGAUGUGUGGCCUCUGUUGUUGUACUGGAGGUCAGAUGAGGGAAAGAGACACAGAUUAAUUCAGUUUGCUGGGAACAGUCAAAAUACAUAUGAAGUGGAGUCACUUGAAUCUAAUAGGUGCGGCCGGUGGCACUAUAGUCGAAUAUCUCCUGAAGUCAAGUGGGUUUGUAAAGAAACAUGCAGUGUGUGAGUUGGAAUCAAAUUCUAGACUGAUUUUAAGCGCAUCAAACAAAUAGAUCAGCAACAGAGCAUGUCCAUAUCGUUGCCCACAAAGAUCAGUGUUUGAACUUUACCCAUCGACAGGUUAGAUUUUAAAGAAUCACUCCUGUGACUGGUUGCAUUCGAUUGAAAUGUUGACGAUGUUAAUGAUUGAAGUAUAAAAAACAGAAUUCUACAACCACUUUUUCCUGACUGUUUUAUGACAUGACAUGGCGCCUUGAUCGAAUUGGACCGCUCUGACCCACAUGUAAGGUUUAAACACAAGGCCAUGUUGAAUUGCUUUAGGAAGGGUUAGUGGAAUCAUUUACCAUAUUAAAGUCUGUCAUUGCCCUCUCUAGUCAGGAGAUAAAAGCUCAAAACAAGAAAUGGCUUGUCCCGUGUUGCUUUACAACAUUACGCGCUUUAGGCUGUGUCCCAUUUCUCACCCUAACACAAGCACUGAACACUAGCACUUGGUUUUGAGUGCCCUCUACUAUGAAGUGCCCUCGUACGACCAAGUGAAGUGAAUUGACUUCCCGAAGAAUUGGGACAACACUUCGCGACAUUACGCUUUACGCAUGACGUGUUCACUUACGUCACGCGUAACGACGUGUCAUCGGCUGCUGUGCUGAGUUUUGUUUCCUGCAUAUCGAGUGUUGGAAACGUUUUGGAAAUGCCAGCUCCAGUGUUUUUGCAACCUCUCGCAUCGGAGCUGAUAAUCUCACUUGGUUUGGUGAACCAACGGAGAAGAAUGAGCGGCGCGCUAUGUUCCUCUUAUAUGAGGAUGCUAACGUUAGCCUGGAUGCUAGUCGAUUGUUGUUUGUUAGGAAGAAAUAAAAACAUACUGUAGUACAUACAUGUUGUAUUGUUCCUGUUGUCGGACACGGUAGACCAUUUGGAUGUGAUACGAGAGACAGUAAACAAACGGAAGAUUAGUCCUUGUUACUAAAAUGUCCCUGUUGUCCUGUCCAACAUUGUUUUUAAAUAAAUAAUAAAAUAAUAAAUACUGGAAAUCUAUUCACGCUUCAUAUUCCCACUUCGUUUCAAGUCACUCCGGCACCCCCUCGGUUUAAAGGGAUCAUUUCUAGUGGUGAACGUCAAGUGCCCUCGGUCUUAGGAGCACACUACACUUACACAUGAACACGCAAAACUAACACGUGUUAGGGUCAAAAAUGAGUGUUAGGAUGAGAACUGGGACACAGUUCCACAUAAUUCUCGGUAGGUUUUCAGUGAAUUUAUUAUGAAUCGACAGUCUUCUGACCUUUCCAGGAUAGUCCCACGAAAUGUUGACUCUGGUAUUGAGUUCACCAGUCGCAGUGCAGUUCAAGACCAGUCUCUUUCCUCUCAGCGUCUCCACAGGACCACUGCUGUUCAAGUAAACCUCCAUGAUGUUGCUCACUGGUAGAGCAGAGGCAAAAAACAUUCCAAAUAUCAAGAGACUGAUGAGGCACGUGGUGAAGCUGUAGGGCGCACACAUACCCAGCCUGUGGACCAGGUACAUGCGUGACGUGCGCGUCACGCCGUUAAUGACUGUCUGGCAGUAGAAAAGGUUGAUAUGGCGCAGGGUUGGCGAGUGAAUGGUGAAUCCUUGUUUGCUGCUCCAGGUGAUGUUCCUCUGGUCUGGGAUGAAGACUUCCGUGUAAGACUGCGGGAGGAGAACAUUACAUGGAUCAGACUCAUGCGUAAGAAGCAGCAGCAGUGAGGCUGUUAGACACUAGAUGGAAAUGUGUCUUGUAUUUAGGCUCCAGGUUCUGUCACACCUGUCCUUACAGCAUUUUUGGAAACCCGUGGUGGAGAGCAGGCUGUUUUGUCACAGGUUUUGUAACUACUCUGAUGCGCACGCUUGAGCAACCUUGUUGUUUUCUUAGGGGCAAGCCCAAGGAAAUGUUUACUAGAAUCGCUGUGACACUGAAAACCUUCCACCCUCUCUCAAGGGAGCAGGUAGACCCCCCACCGAAAGUUCACCAACAGCAUGGAUCGACUGAUGUGGCUCCUCCCAGAGUCAGGUGACGCUUUCCUCCUUCCUCCUUGGAAAGUCUUUCCAAUCUGAUAUCCCUCUGAACUCACUGACGCUCCUUCAAAGGCGCUGCGCUGCCCUGGCGACCCUUCUUAGCCCCCUCCGCUGAAGGUGUGGGUGGGGAUGCAGGAUAAGUCGGGGCUUACAGCAGUCACGAUAUGAAAAGCUUGACUCACAUCCAUCCGGUUACAUCCUGGAUCUACAGGAUACAGACAUUUGGGCUGGGACCUCUUUUCCCAACCCUAUAGUGCUGGUGACCUCCUCCUCAUUUUAACUGCAAUAGGUGAAGGGUCCCUCAGUGGAUCCAGCAAAAACAUCCAGGAAAAAACAACCUCGACAGUGCAGAACACGCCAUGUGAGUGAGUGUUGAAGAAUUGUGGUGAGGUUAUAUUUGGAUUGUAUUUAUGGCUCCAGGAGUUUGCGAGGGGAUGGAAGCAGGACAACGAAAUGAAGGGGUGUAAAAGGUGAUGUCCUGUCAUGGCAGCCUUCGACACUCAUUCAAAGUUUAGGAAAUGAAAGGGAUAUAAACUGGAACAGGAAUUUUGUUCUUCCUCACUCCUAAAUAUAGACAUAUUUCUAAACAUGUUCUGUCUCCAAAUGUAGAUUUCCUCUUUAUAUUUAUCCAGAACAGAAGCUGUCAGGUCAGUUUACAUUAGCCACAUUACUCAGCCGGGGAACGCGGAGUCAGCAAGAGGAAAUAUUGGAGUGUGCCCAAUCAAUGAGCUGAUAAACAGGAGUCUUCUUGGAACACGCUGAGGAAAUUCAGUUCAAAUUUUAGUGUUCCGUGACAUUCGUCAAAAUGUCAGUGGUCACCGACGUACUAGUACAUUUCCUUCACUACCUACUUUUGUUGUAUUUGUAUUUGUGUUUUAAAGGGCCAGUUGAAGUCCUCACAAAGGGGAGCUCAAGUCUCUGACUCUUCCAGUGGUUCAAGCAUGAGAAACAUCUGGAGGUGCGCAAUAGAAUCGUUUUAUCUCUCGUAACACUGGGUUUUUGCUGCUUAUGAUGCUACAUAGAUCAAAGUCAAGCUUUUUUUGUCAACAACUGAAUGACUGUUGAUGGGAAAAGAAUGCUGUGAGUGAUACAAGGACUUGCUGUGUUGUAAACCAACACUGGACCAACAUAACCAUUGACAAAUGACUAUUAAAUUAGUGGAUGGCAAGUUCAUUAUCGUUCUCUUGGCACAAUCCACAGGAAGUGGCGAAAUGGCUGAAGCACAUCAAAGGACACAUACUGUUCACCACGCCUUUUGAGCAAUUCGAAUUCAGAAAAAUACUUUUUCAUAAUUCACACAAUAAUAUUUAACACUACAUAAGAGUUUAUAUCAUGUUCUAUGCUCACUUGGGACUAAGAGUGAAUUUGGUCGGCGACUAGUGGACUAUCGACAUAUUUAUUAGCAAAACAAUUCUUCUUGAUAAUAUUUUUUAGUAUUUUACCAAAUGGUGUUAAGUUCUGGACAGUCCAGCAUAACCAGAAUAUCCUCUAACAAUCAGAAAAGAAAAGUCUCUAGCGUAUUUGUUAGAAGAUAAAUCCAAGUAUAAAUGGUUUGUUUGCUGUUUGAGCACAGCUUUGCAGGAUAAGCCUGCAACAAAGAAUCGGAAAGAGCGAGCCAAAAGUCCAACCAGUUGCACGCUUGCUUCAGAGAUGUAAUAUGUUGUUACUUUUUUUAAUUCCAGACUUUGAUGGAAUGUUCAUGCAGCUACAUUAAUUCGCCGAUUCACGGAAUCCUUUUAAUUCCAGCUGGGAGGUACACAGGCCGGAACAUUGCCCAACUUCACUCCCGCCUGAAGACAAUGUGUUGCACUUUGAUCUGCAGAGGCCAACAGUAGCUGCCGCAGCUUCCUCUCUGUGGCAGGCAGCUGUUUAAAGCAUCAAGGGAAAGUUGGCAGCCGAGGCGCUUACUAUGAGAGUUGGAGGGUCCGACGUGGGAAGUGGCGCUGGCUUGUCGCCAGUGGGGCACUCCAGAUCUAAUGUCCUGUCUCCAGGGGAGGAACCAAGCCAACAGGAUGGCGCGGGCGCCGUUCGAUCGGAAACAGAAAUUAAAGUGGCAUCUUUGAUUGGGAUGAUUGUUUGACAGUGGGGAAAUGCAUGUGAUCGAGUGAUGAGAUAGACAUCCCCCUCUCACCCCCCCACACAUCAGUGGAGUAAAAGGUGCCGAAGUAAAGAACAAUGUGCAGAAACAAACGUGUCAGCGAGUCCCGAAGGAAAAGCCUGACCAAGACGAGCAGUGAAGUGUUUUUCGGAGGAGCAGGAAGAAGUUUGACGUCAGACUGGAGCUUUCAUCAUGGCACCGUCAUGUUCUUGGACUGACCUUGACCAGGACGGUGGUGAAGUUAGGAUGGGUGACUCUGCAGGGAAUGACCAGCGGCCGCUUCUCCGUCAUGUACAGCACAUCCGGGCUCAUGUCUGAAUGGUCCACAAACGGCUGCUGGCUGUCUGAAACGCAAACUCUCAGUCAGGCAAAGUCCAAAUGAAACACCAACUCUGGGAGGAUUUUUGGACGCUGCACUAAUACAGUGAACAGAACAAUCCCUUGCUUCUCCACACACAACUUUACAUUCAAGGUUUUCCUCAACAAACCAAAAAUAAACAUAUAGAACUGAACAACUGACCUCAUGUAGUCAACAACAAAUAGAGAUUGUUUAUGGAAUCAAAUGGCCUCCCUGUGUAGUUCUCCUCCCAGCCGCACGACUUUAAUACCUCACUGCCAUUGAAAGGUGUGGGUGUUGCUCCGUGCAUUGUUUGUUGGGGGUUAUUCAUGGAAAGCAAAUCUCUGAACAUUUGAACAAAAGUACCCCAAGGACUGGUGGACGCAGGGCUUCCUUCUCUGGCUUUGAUUUCAUGUGGAGGAGGUGUGUGUCCAGCCAGAGCUGCAGGCCAGGUCGGCGCUUAAUAGACGUGGAGACCUGAGCGAUUCAUGACACCCAGGGGCCAUGUUGAUCUUAAUGGCGUGCCCUCUGGCCGUGGCCUGCAGCAAUGGCUCGGUGCCCGGCCCAAGGAUAACGUGGAGCCGUGUGGAGACACUUGCUAGCUUCCCACACCUGACCUCAACCAUUAUGACCUUUCUUCUUAAAAUGAACUGCUCUCUGAGGGUCUGUUUUAUUAUCUACUGUAUCUCCUCUCAGUGUCUGCAAGCCACUGCAGUCUGUUCUCCCAAGCACCGCCACAAGUUGAGCAUUUGAUGCUCUCAUUGGUGCUCUUGUCCGUCCUAGUCACGGCCACUGAAAGCUACUUGUGACUCUUUCGGUCUCGGAACCGUGGCUCCUGGCAGAUCUCACAACAUGUGUGUCGUUGAGGAAGUAUGUGACGAUCAGACGCCACCGUGGAUGGACUGGACGUCUUGAUCAUGAAGCUGAAGUGUGCUUUCUUUUCUUGUGCCAAGCCAUUACUUGUGCGAAUAUUCAGUCAAAGGUGACCUUAACACAGUUCCAACUGAUCUCGCUGACGGAGAUGCCUUCAGAUCUUAAAGACCUUGGAGGAAGUGAUAGCAAGGGAAGCUACACCGCGUUUACUCCGAUUCUUGUCCCAGGUUUAGUUGGUUUGAUAUCAGCUGUGGUCGCUUGCCUUGAUCCUAUUCUUCUGUCCGUCACAUUGGCAGACAGCGCCCCUCACCACCACCCCCACCUCAAGCCCCGUUCAUCUCUUCCCCUGCACAGGAUAUUUCAAGCUGACUGAGGCAGAUAAGACUGAUGCCCUGGGAAACUCUGCCCAAAUGUGAGGCUUUCAGCCGCAGAGCUAUUUCUGCCUCACAGUGUUGCACGAAAGUCGAAGUUGAUUUAUUUAUAGGCAACAGGAGGUAACAAGACUUGGAGAAGGAUGUGUUGUUGGGACAAAGUGUCUUUAGAUAUAAAUGACUCGGGGGUUCAGCAGCAGCACAUCCUGUUUAACCCAGAGGAACAAAUACAAGGUGACGCCGUCAGGCCUGUGCUGUUCGCCAAGUGUCUUACCUGUGAGAUAGACAUAAACCGAUGAGCUCUUCUGGGUCCAACGUUGAUACCGACAUUGGAAGAGUCCGGUGUGCUGGGCUUGUGUGCGGGCGACCGUCAGACGGCUGCAGUAGUGCUGACCCGUCCUCCCGCACGCCGACUCCUCCACCUGCACCUGGUCUAGCUCCAGGCCUGCAGGGAAGGCCCACACCAGCCUCCAGCGACCCCUGGAGCCCAGGAACGCAGGGUUAGAGAGAGAGAGACGCGCUUCAUGCUGGUAGAAGACCAAAGUGGAGGUUUGAAUCUGAGCAUGUUUAAACACAACUACACACUGUGUGUACGGAUCCCGCAAGAGUGUUGCGUCAAGUCACCAGUGAAACACGUCUUGUGAUAUUGGACAGGUGGCCAUAAGUCAUUGCUCACUUCACUCAACUAUUUUUGAAGGAUGGCUCCAGUAGCCGCAACAAAACAACUUUGCUCUCACCAGACAUCGGCUUCCUUCUCUAGCUCUCCUGUGGAACACUUGGACCCCAAGCUCCUUCCUUCUGAUCCACCAUGUCACUGCGAAAUCAUGGCUCAGUGAUCGUCACUGGGUUCUGGCCUGCAGCGUUUGUCAGUAACUGACAGGAAAUAAAGCACUCUGCCUUUUGGCUCAGCUCAGCUUGAGAACAACUGACUGAUACAGCUUCCUUGUGACAUUCGCUGUCACACUCCAUCCUUCCUGCUUCUUUGCAGAUGAAGUCAUUUUGAACUCAGAGUUGGGUCCUAAAUUUGGCCCUUUCACAACCUCAGUAUUCCCCUUUAGCCAGAGCCUGCCUCAGCCAAAGUUUAGGAAGUACAAAGUUCUAAGUGGAGCUGCUUCCUAACGCUGAAAGUUUGAGGAUAUUUGGUCCUCAAAUGUGGAAGAACAUCUCAAGGGAGCUGGAAACACACCUGCAGUUGAGCACCAGUGUCUGUUUGGAGUCCAGUACCAGGGUCGGGUCCUGCACAUCCAGUUUGGGCACGCUGUACUUCCCCUUCUGAUCUUUCUCUUCGAGGAGGAUGAGAAAAAAAAAAAACAUAUCAAUGACUCAACACCAGUGUUUUACUGUCAUCUGAAUGCUAUGUACCUCAGAGUUAGCGUGAGCUGAAGGUGAAUAAUCGACAUAUUUGUCAGAUGAAUAGUUUGGGAAAAUUGGGUUGAUAGUUGGUGUCUUCUUUAAUCCAACUUCACAGUGGACCACUGGAUUUUAAGGAUGUGUAUUUUUGCCCAACCACAUACUUUUGACAAAUAAACAGAGGUGUUUCUUCAGCCCUACUUCAAGCUUAAUAACGUGGUAAAAAUAAUAAUAUUGAAACUGAGAAUGAUGGACUUUAAUAUUAUAGCUGUCAUGCCACAAGGACCUGGAUCUCUAAAGUCUUAAAACAUAAUCACGUAAGACGGAGUUUGAGAAAAUAGUGACCACAUUUAUGACUAAGCGACAGUUUUGUUGUCUGAAGUUUUGUUGUCUGACUGUGGAAGCAGUAAAUGACUAGAGUGUGCUGUUUUACUGGACCUGAUUCUUCAUUAAUGUAGAGGUGAGGAUCACAAGGCGGACAACUGAACUGUAUUUGGAGGCGUUCAAGUUCCAUCCCUCGUAUUUGGUCAUGAACAAAUCUGGUCUCUUGUGAGAGAGUCAAGUGGUUCCAUUGGCAAACAGAACCAGCUCAGGGUGGCCCCAGCUCUUGUGUCACAGCCAUCAAAACUGACGUUUGCGACCGUUCUAAAGUGAAUUUCUUGGUGGAAACCCCUGUAUUCAGUCACUUCCCGUGAGUCCUGACAGGCCGCAGCAUCUCCCUGUAUCUGUCUCCAGUCGGUUCCCUGCAGGACGGAGCCUCCGUGACCCUCCUCACAUCUCCUUGCCCCGUGCCACUUGACAGCUCGUGUGGAAAUGCGUAAGCAAAGUGGCUCUUGUUUAUCAAAUGAAGACGUUUCUUUACUCCCCGGUGAAGGUUUAUUAAUGAGAGAUUAAGUCCAUCCACCCUUCCUUCCUCCGCUGGAGCUCAUCUACUCACACACGCACACACGACACUCCACCGCUCUGUUGGAGGUGGUUCCAGUCCUGAUAGUAAGCCACGUCUCAACUUCACUACUAAUGUUAUCCAGUGUUGCUGUGAACUUCACAUUAGCACGUUUCCUGUCCGCCACUGGAAGAUGGAAAUCACACAUGGUGCAGAGACUGCCCUUCUCUUUGUCAGCCACAAUCACACUCUUUCCCCCGGAGGAUUUUCGAUUUUCUUUUAAAGGCACUCACUUCCUAAUGGGAUCAUUUCCGCUCAUUUUAUGUAGUACAAUGAAGUGUAAUAGAUUUAUUCUGUAUCUCUGGGGCCAGUCAGCAGUCACUUUAUAAAACUGGAAAGAUAAACCUGUCUGACUCAAUACACUGUUUUAAACCCAAUUAUUGUCUUUCCCUUUAUUUCUCGUUUUUACUGUACAAGUUCUUAAGUAUUACACAUAAUUUUCAAUGUUUUAUUUAUGUAUUUCUGCAGCAUUCAGGCCUCAACUACUUUGUGAUCAUCUCAUUACAAGAUAAGGAAAAAUACACAUGCUUAUCGCAUGAUGUAUGGCAACAUAAAAUUCUAUAUAUUAUAAUGUCAUUCUGGAAUGUAUUCCCAAAUGUUUGGAAUUUUUUUUGCCUCAUCAUCAAGUUUAUCUCAACUGAAUAUUUUCUUCCCAGUGCAAUAGAUAAAUAAAUAAAUACUACUACGCUUGGAAAAACAUUUAUAUUCUUUUUGUUACUUUUCUACUUUGUUACUACUUUGUGCUCUUUAAUCAGAAACUUAAUUUCAGGUGAUAUUUCAUACUUCUCUUUUUGUAAACAGCGUUUUUGUUUUUGAAUGCAAUUGUUAUGAUUGUUUCUAAAAUGCUUUGCACUUACAAUUCACCGUCAUUUGUACAUAAUAAGUGUAAUUCAAAUGGUGAUUCAAUAUUUGUCUCUUACUAUUUAUAUAUGUACGUUACUGUUGACUGUUUAAUUGUACUCUUUCAAUAUUUUUUCUUUAUUUUAAGUGGACUAUUUCCAGUUUUAAGGUUAUUUGAACUUCAGAAAUCUGUGUUGAUUUUUGGUGGAUAAUAAUAAUAAUAUGUGACAUAUAAUAACAUGUAAUUAUGGCGAUAUAAAAGAUAUAAAAAAAAACGUAUAAUAGGUGUAAUGUAGCUAGAGAUAUCACAGGUUAUGGCUCAAAUAAAGAGGUCCACAGACACAGAUAUGGAUUGCAAGGAUGUAUUUGACGUUUUAACGAGGUCAAAUUUCUAUAUUUUACCUUUUUCAUUUGGUAAUUGGUUGGAUACAUUAUAUAUUCACGUUCACAGACACACUCAUUUUACUGCUCCCAGUUAUUUCGGUUUUAUUCUACAAUUCUAUUUAAUUUAGCUUUUGAAUUAACAAUAAUAAAAAAAAGUUGCGACGAUAACUUUAUGAUCAUAAAAUGCACUUUUUGUGAAGCGGAAAAACUAUUCAUAACAUCUGAAGAUGAUGCCAAAAGUUAUGGAGGAAUUCUUUUCACGCAUGAAUUAUUCUUCAGUUCUGUUCCUCUCCCGCGCUUAAAGCACAAAACAAGUGUAAAAAAAAAAAAAAAAAAAAAGUAAUGAACCGAAAGUUUCGAGACGGUUUUAUGCGUUCAGUGUUUCUGCGUUCUGGAUUUGCCACUUCACUGACGCGCGCCUCAAACCGCUCGCGGAACCUGUUACUCACCUCUGGCCACGACCCCCAACAAUCCACAGAGCAGCGAGAUGAAAACACACUUCAUGGUGCCACACGCGGCUUAAUUCCUCUGUGUCGCAGCUCUGGAGACGCAAAUCACUCCACGAGUUCCCCAACUUCGAGCGCAGCGCAACUUUUGGCCGUCGCCACGGAGAGGAUGCGCGCCUUUAUGCUGUUCCCACAGUGCCGCGGUGACGUCACACUGACGCUCGCGGACACACCCUUGAUGGUCCGCGCAGUUGGUGGAAGUCGCUUUCUCACACGUUUGACUCCGCAUCGGGGAGUUUAUUGUACUGACGUUUUCUUUCAUGGAGGGACGUGUGUCUGCAUGGUGAUGAACCGGUGUGAGUUUGGCGCGUGACCCGCGCUGGGUCACAGGCUUUUGAGGAGAUGAUGAAAGUGAAAACGGUAGAAUUCAUCACCACCAAGUGAGAGGGAAGUGGAGGACUGAGUCGUGUGUCUUGACUCAGGCCUGCGACCCAGCAGGACUCUUGGCACUGAAGGAGACAAGUGUGGAGAAGCUGUGGCUUGAGUCAGACGUGAGCUCACAGCUGACUGUGUUCCAGAGCAACAUGACGGCGCUUCUGCCUCCAAGGACAGGAGUGACUUCAGAAAAACAAGAUGGAGCUCAGUGACUUUUUAUAAAUUCAGUCUUUUAAUUUGUAUAAAAUAACUUUGGAGCAGGAUAGUAAUGUAACAAAUAUACACAGCUCUAUCUGUAUACAGUGUCCUCCAGAUAUAUUGGCACAGCUAAAACAAACGCGUGCACCGGCUCUUAACAAACUGGGUCUCCUCCUCCUCCUCCUCCUCCUCCGCUCUGCUGCCGACAUGGUCGGCGGUGCUGCGAUGGGUGUCCUGUCCUGGACGGACGCCAGGCCGGUUGAGCCGGGCGCAGCCCUCGCCCCAGCUCACGAUCCCGGCCAGGAACCAGCGCCUGCUGCGCUCCACACACACCAGCGGGCCCCCGGAGUCACCCUGGAGGACGGGACCAAACCAUCCAGCCACGUUCGACAGAUGAAAGUCUGUAGUCACAACAAGUAGCUGUGACUACGCUACACUGCAGCUUUUCCAGUCGAUCACAUCAUAACUCCUCAGCGCAUGAUACUCAGGACGGGAGGUAAUGGUGGUCACUGUAUGUCAGGCACGUCCAAAGCCUGGCACAGGGGCCAUUGGUGGCCCUCAAGCCUGUGGCCACAGUCAUACAUUACUUUCUGGCCCAUCCCACUAAGUGAAGUAAGUGACUCCUGAACUGUCAUUCAUUCAUUCAUCAUUCAUUCUGUCAAGAUGAGAAUGGGCUUCAAGUGACUGCCAUUUUGGCUGAUGAGAGUUCACUCACCACUCACAUGGAUAUUACGGAACUCGCUGUCCUGGGUGGGAAAUAUGAAUAUGGAAUUGAAGUCAAAACUGGAGUCGAAGAAGGUUUUUCCACAGGUUUUUUGUUUAGUUUAAAAAACAUCAACAAUUGAAACUAACAAGGUUGAGGUUCGAACUCAUUCCGAUAAAUGAGCCACCUUGUUUGAUGCUGCUGUCCUUGUUCACAGCUGAUCAAACAUGAAUGUAUCCAUCUGACCGCUACAUUAGUUUUAAAAUAUGACUGAUAAAUUGAGUGUUGAUCUGAUAUAUUUUUAUCCAUGAUCCCUCAGUUGUGAAGUCGGCCCCCUCCCGGAACCUCUCUGCUGUACGUCCUUGUUUACCGUGGUAUGAUUCCACUGUUUUGACCUCCAGCUUCCUCCAUCACACCACCAUUGUCUUCUCCUGUUUGUUCUUCUUUCAUUCUCUCCCCUGCUUUGUUCAUCCCACGCUUCCCUGUCUGAGUGUUUGCAGCUGCAGCUGUGGCUUUGACGGCUGUGCUGGGACUGGCCACUGGGGGGAGACAGAGUGUCGAACAGGAGCCUGAACUCGCUGUUCUGAACGGGGCAGACUGUGCGCACAGACCAACGGUGAUACACGCAUUUCCACGUGUGUAAAUGUGGGCACCUUCUCCACUGGGCACCAGCCCCACAUGCUGCGAGGACACUCCCUCACCUGACAGGCGUCGACGCCUCCCUGCAGGUUUCCAGCGCAGAGCAUCCGGGGAGUGACGGCCUCAUCGUAGAGCUUGUUGCAGGUCCCUCUGUUGAUGAUCUUGACUGGCGCCUCCUGCAGGCGAGUGGCCAGCUCACCUGUCGUACGAGAGACGGAGGCGUCAGUGGGCUCACUCUCUCUCUCUGAUGCGCGGGCCACAUGGGAUGCCUCACCAUCCUCCAUGAGGACGCCCCAGCCGGUGACGAAGCAGCUGCUGCCCAUGGAGAAGCUGUGAGACGGCGCCGGGACACACACGGGCUGCACCAGGUCGCUGAAGAAGACGGCGGCGCUCAGCUCCAGCAGGGCGAUGUCGUAGUCCGAGGUGAACUGGUCGUACUUGGGGUGGAGGAGGAUCCGUCGUAUCUGCCUGGUGGCCGCACCUGUGGCCCCUGCGGUCAUGACCCUCAGCCCCAUGUGGGCUCGCCAGGCCCGGGCGUCAGAAUACCUGCGGAUGGCAUCUGCAUCAUCACAGGGCCUCGGCAGCUGCGGCGCCGCCACCCUCUUACUUGAUGGUGUCCGAGUCCUGGAAGCAGUGGGCGGCAGAGACCAGCCAGCGGUUGGAAACCAGCGUGGCUCCGCAGACGUGUCCGUAGCGCUCCAUCUGUAGACUGACCUGCCAGGGCCAGGACCCUGUCCCGGCGUCAGAGCCCCCCACGAUCUUGGUGCGCUUCCUGGGCCUGAUGCCGCAGGCUGGGUCAGAGGCGGAGAAGCUCAGUGAGAACCAGUAGAAUGUUUCUGCACCCGGAUGAGAGCGCGUUACCACAGCGCAGCUCGUCGGAACCGUCGGAGCAGUCUUUGACCCAGUCGCACUCCGGGUUGGCCUUGCUCACGCACUUGCCGUUGGAACACUUAAAGGAGGAGGGGGAGCAGCCCUUGACGUCUGAAGAGAGUGAGGCUGAGUGAGAGAGGGCUCACCAGCUUCCGCUUCACUCAGUCACUCACAGGCUCGGGUGCAGUUCAGCUCGUCGCUGCGGUCCUUGCAGUGGACCACGCCGUCGCACACCGACGACUUGGGCAGGCACACUCGACCCGGGCACGUGUGGAAACAUUUACCUGCUGGGGAGGCACUUUUGUCUGUACCUUCACUAUGAUGGGAUGUCGCCGCGGUUACUCACCACACACGCCCUCUUCGCUGCUGUCAGCGCAGGAGCUGCCACACUGGCUGCUGUGAGCUUUACACUGACCUCCGGCACACAGCACCUCCCCCGGCCUGCAGGGCGCUGCGCACACGUCAGAUCCAAGGCUGUUACAGCACACUUUGGUUUCAGUCUUUAUCAGUCAUUCGCUUUAGUUUGUCAUGACGCAUUUUGUUUCAUCAAGGCUGAAAUACUUUAGUCUCUGACUUACUACUUACAAAAAAAUGUAUCCAAAUAACAAAGAAAAAUAAAAAAAACUUUCUUUCAGAGGGAACAUUUUUAAGUACCAACUCCAGGUGCAUCACAUGACAUAAUGUAACAUCCAUGAGGAAGGUGAGUCCAUGACUUAGUGCUGAUUUACAAGUUGAAAUAACUUCAGCAGAGAAACACAAAAAUGCUGUUCUUGUGAAUUGACGUCCAUGGAUGUGGUGAACGACGUGUCUCAGACUCACAGCACUUGGCUUCAUCCCGUCCGUCUGAACAGUCUCGGACUCCAUCACACACUUUCCUCAGAGGGACGCAGCGUCCGUCUCCACAGCGGAACUGGCGAGGACACGCUGGAAAGACAAGUGUAAGACAAAUGUAAGCGGUGACACAAGGACCGACAGAGCAACUUCAGAACAGAUGAAUCAGAUGUUUCAAGUUAAAAAAAACAAUCUUGAAAUGGGAACAGAACGGACAGCAGAAUCUUGGAGUAAAUGCCUAAGCAACCUCUACUCUUGUUCAGUAAACUCUAGGCAGCAGUUGAUCCAAUAUAAGGUGGACAGUGAAGCUUCACUCAUUUUACCCAUUCACAUAUGCAACAUGUAUCAAAUGCAAACAGCGUUUGAUCAGAUUUGGCAGCCAUUUUUAAUGUAUAUUAUGGCGCAAUUACAACUCUAGACACCUCUGGACUGUAUUUUCUUCUGUUAUAUAAUUUACGAAUGCUUGAAAGGAUCAUGCUUUUAUUAAUUUUCUUGUGUGGAGUGCAUUUCUUUUUUCUUUCUUUUCUUUGGGGGAGUUCAGUGGGAUAUGUAUGUUCUGUAGUGACAGGCCCUCAGAGCUUGGUUAUGGCCUAACAUAACCAGAAAUCAUGAGCGUAUUGAUGACAGAAGUGAAUUUCAUUUUUCAUGUAUUACAAAAAUACAUUAUAUGCAGUACAUAUAACAAUCAUACUCAUGUCACAGUAUAUCCCAGAGUUGUUUUUCCAGGUUAGAGUUUUCAUCCAGUCAGAAUUCAGCUAGCUUGUGUUGUCAUGUCCAAGGCCUUCAGCAGCAACAGUGCAGGCACAGGUGCCCUCAGAGUGAACGGACAGAGUUGAUGGAUAGUUGCGAUAGCCAAUCAAAUCACAAGUUGGGGACAGUGAGUGAAUGCAAACGUUUGAGAUGUUUAUUUUAUUCAUGUUUAACGUUCAAUGUUAAUGACGGGGCGCAGCUGUGUGGCUCUAUGACACGUUUCUUGUGCCGCUGUCGGCAAACUGCGUCCGUCUUG